UAAGCCCAAUAAUGAUCCUUCC
rnacentral:rRNA from 1 species